GUUUUCUUUUUUUAUUUCGUCCAUUUGUUUUUGCUAAUGGGUUUGGUUGGGGUUGCAGAACUUCUUCUCCCACCGGAACGUCAAUGGCGUUUGCGCGCGCUUACACUGCUCAGUUAACAAUGGCAACGGCACUGAUGCUUAUUGUUAUUCAGAUGCUAAAAGCUACUCCACUGAACAUGAAGGAGGUACACUGGGAAAAAGUACUUGUGGUCAAGGAGUACUGCUCACAUUCAACGAGUACUUACUACUUUCUUUACACCGUCUUCUUAGUCAACAUAAAAGGCCACUGAUUGUUGUUAGUUGAUGAGGUUUUAUAUUGCUCCAGCACUUGGGAGGAUGAGUUACCUUGAAAGUUAUGGCCAUGGUCUGGGCUGGAAGCCAAGUAACCAAUCUUGUCAGAGCCUUGAUUCAUGGAAUCUGGUUGGUUCUUAAAAAUAAAACAAACCAUUUGAUCUUAUGUUCUCUCUUCACCACCUCACUUUCUAUCCAUUUAUAAAUGUUUAUAUGCAUAUAAAAUGCCCCUUGUGCAGGGCUUGUGCGCCUUUUCUAGACAGAGGAUUGUCAUCGUUCACGGUUAAAUUUAAAUUUGAGUCUCAGCAUCAGGAAACAUAAUUAUUUUCAUCUGUUUUUGUAUUUAAGCCUGUAUAUAUAAAUGACACUGGCUUCUUAUAUGGACUUUCCACAAAAAUUUUAAUGCCUCAACAGUCUUAGUGAAAAUUGCAGGUUUUGUAAGAUUUAAACUUCAGCCUAUUAUUAUCUGUUUUCUUUUCCAGUCUAUUAUUUUACAUAGGAUCGAAAAAGACUGGAAAAACUAAAAUAUUAAUUUUUUUUUUUUUCUUAAAAAAAUUUUCCUGGAUCAGUUUAAGUUCUAAUCUGUUAUCUUAAAUACAGAAACAUAAGCUAUUAUGUUACAAAUAAGAGAGAAUUUCUACUACAAUAACUAUUUUGUACUUGUAAUUGCAAAGGGGAAAAAAAAAAAAAAAAGUAGAACAAAUGGUUGCUAUAUAGUAGAAGUAAAUAGUUUUAGAAAGCAAUAGCCUCUAAUGAGAGUGUAAGUUGAGUAAUGUAAAGUAGAAAACCAAAAAAUAUUUUUACAAAUAUUCUAUUUAGAGUCUUGAAAGAUGGCACAUACCAAUUCAAAGUAUCUCUUAGUUAUGAGUUUAUGCUGGGUUUACCGUGUAUCUUUAACUUCAAAUGCUUCACAUCAAUCAAUGGUGAGAUUUUCCUCAUAUUUUCUGGAAUAAGUAGAGCCUUCAAGAACAUAAAAGCACAAAUAAUAAAUUACAUUGUAAGGAACUUUGAUCAUGUACCAAGGCAAAAAUAAUUAAUACAAAAAUGUAGCGUUACCUUUUCUGAUGGAGCUUCAAACCUCAAAGUGUUGGCGCAAUUAAGAUUUGAUAGCAGCUUUGGUAUAUUAGAAUACCAUGAUUCAUCAUAAUCAUCAAACAAAUCAUACUUCACACUUGCUUCUAACGGGUUCAGAGGGCUUAUCCGAAAAGUUGAAUUCAUAUUGCAGCUUUCAUAUUUAAAGUAGGCUAGUGUACUGAAUGUUGCCUUUGUAUAAUAAAAAUCACUAAUACAACACGGGAUUUUAGGCUUUAACUAUGAAUGUUCAAUUGGUUCAUAAGAUCUAGACAAGAAGAAUAUUAUCUAAAUGCAAAUCCCCAAUAAAACGGCAUCCAGAAAUUAGGUUUUGGAGGGCUUGGGCUUCAAAUUCUAUGCAAAUCAAAGAGAUGGAAAAGUGAAAGGGAAAUUUGAUUCAUGACAACAAACUCUAUAUCGCACAAACACAGAUUCCUUAAAGAUGGAAAGUUGAUACGAAAAUUUUUAUUCAACCUUAUACCCUUUAUGUCAAGGUGAGUUAAGGAAGAUCUUAGACUAUUGAGAAUCGAAGUGGUAAACAAUAGUAUGGACGAGAGCAUAUAGAACCGUGAGUAGGCAUAAAACAAAUAUCAAACUCCUUCACAUUAGUAUUAAUUUCAAGAACAGAAUUUAAGAAACUACUUAUAAUGCCUUGCUCAUAAUCAGAUCGAUCAUCUUGUAUAUGCAGCUUAAACUUAGUAUUAUUAGCAAUAAUACCAUGUGAAUGUAACGAUUUUCUAUUGUUCAAUUAUUAUUUGA